GAUGAACGCUAGCGGCAGGCUUAACACAUGCAAGUCGAGGGGUAACAUGGUAGCAAUACUGAUGACGACCGGCAAACGGGUGCGGAACACGUACAGAAUCUACCUUUGUCUGGGGCAUAGCCCGAAGAAAUUCGGAUUAACUCCCCAUAAUAUAGAUGAGUGGCAUCACUCGACUAUUAAAAUUUAUUGGACAGAGAUGACUGUGCGUCCCAUUAGCUAGUUGGAGGGUAACGGCCUACCAAGGCGACGAUGGGUAGCUGGUGUGAGAGCACGACCAGCCACACGGGCACUGAGACACGGGCCCGACUCCUACGGGAGGCAGCAGUGAGGAAUAUUGGUCAAUGGACGCAAGUCUGAACCAGCCAUGCCGCGU
rnacentral:rRNA from 1 species